GCCUCUGUGGUGUAGUGGUAUCAGCACGCGCCCCUGGAUGCGGUGAAACGGGGGUUCGAUUCUCGCCUGAGGCC